AAUAAGUUUAUUUUUCAGUUUUUAGGUACAAUGUUUGACUCUUAGUCUUAUUUGAAUUUUUUUUACAAUUAAUAUUUUUAUUUUUAUUAUAUGAUAAAACAUGAAUAGUAUUUUACACGUAACUAAUUUUUUAAAAGUCUUUCUAGAAAUUUUUCAAAUAAGAUAGAGAGUCAAACGUUAGAUACAGAAAUUAAAAAAUAAAGUUAUA
rnacentral:pre_miRNA from 1 species